rnacentral:rRNA from 1 species
AUUGAACGCUGGCGGCAUGCUUUACACAUGCAAGUCGAACGGCAGCGCGGGCUUCGGCCUGGCGGCGAGUGGCGAACGGGCGAGUAAUGCAUCGGAACGUGCCCAGCAGUGGGGGAUAGCCCGGCGAAAGCCGGAUUAAUACCGCAUACGACCUGAGGGUGAAAGCGGGGGACCGAAAGGCUUCGCGCUAUUGGAGCGGCCGAUGUCGGAUUAGCUAGUUGGUGGGGUAAAGGCUUACCAAGGCGACGAUCCGUAGCUGGUCUGAGAGGACGACCAGCCACACUGGGACUGAGACACGGCCCAGACUCCUACGGGAGGCAGCAGUGGGGAAUUUUGGACAAUGGGGGCAAGCCUGAUCCAGCCAUGCCGCGUGCGAGAAGAAGGCCUUCGGGUUGUAAACCGCUUUUGUUGGGGAAGAAAUCCUCUGGGCUAAUACCCCGGGGGGAUGACGGUACCGGAAGAAUAAGCACCGGCUAACUACGUG